rnacentral:lncRNA from 1 species
UUAGAUUGAGCUAUUGCCGAAGUGAAGACCAAGUCACAGAUUUGUUGACAAAGGGUGUGACAAAUGAUGUGUUCAAGAGGCUGAAGAAGUGCUUGAGCAUGGUGGACUUGGAGCAACUAAAGUGAGAUGGUGUGUUAAAUGCAAUUAAAUUUCUGUUAUUACCUGCUAGUUUUCCAAAAAUAACAGAAUUUAAUUGUUGGGUCACUUUAGUUGUAUUUUGAGUUGUAUUUUUUGUUACUACGUAUCUUUA